UUUCGCGAGCGUUGGUUUACCGGUGGUCUGACCGCCGAUUCUGGAGUGUAGGGUGACUCCACCGCUCGGUGUUUUGCACUUGUAUUAACCACAUCCGCACUUUGGCCAUCGCCACUCGGCACACGGACGGUCAUGGACCAGAGGACUCUGAAAAUAAUGCAGAGCUGCAGCAACACAGGAGUAAACCUGGGCCCACAGCAAAGGAUGGGGAAAGCUAUGUAAACAAGGAGCUACAAUUCCUUCAAUCCCCAGCCAUCUUACACUUGACAGGAAGAUAAUAAGCAACUACAUUUUCUCCAUGCAAAAACCCUUCCAGGUUGUGAGUGCCACAAAUAUAACGGAUUGUACUGUACUCAUCACUAGUAUGACGGCAUCUCCCUCUCUCCAUAGGAUCUCAAUGAGGUCAAAAUGGAGUGGACUCACUUCUCCCUAUUCCUCCUACUAAAUACAGCAAAAACUCCUAUACAUUAGAAAAUAAAUAUAAGGAGACUGAAAGGCGCAGACAAGAAGGCAGACUGGCUAGGGACCUUGAGACUGAGGAAUGAU